GUGGUGGCUCAGAGGUAGAGCGUCUGCCUGCCCUGCGAGAGGCACUGGGUUCCAUCCUCAGCACCACA
rnacentral:tRNA from 1 species